GUGGCCUUGGCGAGUUCCGGGUGGAGCUGCUCGUCUGCAAAACGAGUCCGAGUGCGCGGGGUUCGAGUCCCCCCAAGGCUUCC
rnacentral:tRNA from 1 species